rnacentral:rRNA from 1 species
AUUGAACGCUGGCGGCAGGCCUAACACAUGCAAGUCGAACGAGUGGCGGACGGGUGAGUAAUGUCUGGGAAACUGCCCGAUGGAGGGGGAUAACUACUGGAACCGGUAGCUAAUACCGCAUACCAUCGGAUGUGCCCAGAUGGGAUUAGCUUGUAGGUGGGGUAACGGCUCACCUAGGCGCCGAUCCCUAGCUGGUCUGAGAGGAUGACCAGCCAAAUUGUAACUGGGACACGGUCCAUAUGCCUACGGGAGGCACAAGUGGGUAAUAUUGCACAAUGGGCGCAAGCCUGAUGCAUCCAUGCCGCGUGUAUUAGGAAGGCCUUCGGGUUGUAAAGUACUUUCAGCGUGGAGGCGUUACUCGCAGAAGAAGCACCGGCUAACUACGUGCCAGCAGCCGCGGUAAUAC